UACCAGCACCCCGAGUGGUCGGGACGUUUAUUGGGCCUAAAGCAUCCGUAGCCGGUUCUACAAGUCUUCCGUUAAAUCCAGCUGCUUAACAGAUGGGCUGCGGAAGAUACUAUGGAGCUAGGAGGCGGGAGAGGCAAGCGGUACUCGAUGGGUAGGGGUAAAAUCCGUUGAUCCAUUGAAGACCACCAGUGGCGAAGGCGGCUCGCCAGAACGCGCUCGACGGUGAGGGAUGAAAGCUGGGGGAGCAAACCGG
rnacentral:rRNA from 1 species